rnacentral:piRNA from 1 species
GAACAACAUCAGUUCCUCCCCGAGUCU